UAGGAUACGAUUAUGUUCACUUGCUAGAAACGAAGAAAUAAUUUGAGUGUAUGAUCAACGUACGACUUUGAAAGGGCAGCAACUACUGAAUUUGGGGAAUAUGGCUCUUUGUUCUCAAGGUUCAUUACUUUCAUUGGCAAUAUUGCUACUUGUAUUUAACUUCUCUUGUUCGCAAGAUCCUCUGGAAAAUGGAAAUCAUAAUAUCAAAUCCGCUACUUUUCUCUCUCCUGAGUUUGUAUUGGGACCAGGAUCAGUUGAGAACAGAAAUUAUUUCAAUGUUGACUUCCCAAGAGGUCAUAUUGCUCUCAAGAGCUUUAAUGCUGAAGUAAUUGAUGAGUCUGGGAAUCCUGUCCCCCUCCAUGAAACUUAUCUUCACCACUGGGUCGUUGAUAGAUACUAUCAACGCAAAGAUAAAGCUUCAGCCACUGAGAACAAUCAACGAUCAGAUUAUAAGUUUGCAGGGAACAGUGGAAUAUGCCAGGGUCGUGUUCUUAGACAGUAUUUUGGCCUUGGAUCAGAAACGCGAAAAACGGCUACACAUGUUCCUGAUCCUUUUGGAAUAGAAAUUGGAAAUCCUGCUGAAAUUCCUACAGGAUAUGAGGAGAGAUGGAUGCUUAAUGUACAUGCCAUCGAUACCCGGGGUGUUGAAGAUAGGUUGGGAUGCACUGAAUGCAAAUGUGAUCUUUACAACGUCACGGUGGAUGAAAAUGGUAAACCUUUGAGGCCGGAUUAUACCGGAGGUUUUUAUUGUUGCUAUGAUCGCACACAGUGCAGAAUAAGACCAGGUUUUGAGGGUGUCAAGCGGAGCCUCUACCUACGGUAUACAGUGAAGUGGGUUGACUGGGAUAGUUCAAUU
rnacentral:misc_RNA from 1 species